rnacentral:lncRNA from 1 species
GGGUACGACUUUCAACUCUUCCGACCAUCCCGAUAUACAGUAUGCGGACUCAGAGGAUGCUUCACCUCCUGCUGUCCAAGGUGAAGUGGUGAAACCUGAACGUCCGCCCAAACCGGAAAGACUAUCGCAUCCUUCCGGAAACGGAAGUGUUGAAAGUAACAAUAACAACAACACAUCAUCGUCCAAACCCGAAGCAAUAACUGGAGAAGAAGAAGUCUUCACUCAACCGAUCAAUGUUGGAGGAACUCUGCCCCGUCCAGCUCCACGUCCCCAGCCUCCUGUGCCGCCCAUAAAGCCUCGUAGUACCAUUUCGACAUCGUCAAUAGGAGCAGUUGGAGACAGUACUGAUCUUUGAGGAUCAACUCAAAAAAACUUUUAUUAUUUCCCUAUAAAGUAUAAUUGCCUUUUUCUAUUAAGAGGCCGAGCCUUUCCGAUUUUUUCAAAUGUACGUGGUUUGUUAUUGUGAUUACGGACGGUAUUUAUAAUGAAAUCAAAGUCGGAGAGACAGAAGAGAUGUGUUGGUAUUUUGUGAUGGGUGUGUUGGUUGUGUUUCGAUUUUCUAUACGACAUCCUACGUAAAUCAGUGAUUGUUUUCGAAAGUGCAUUUGGAAAGCUGAUGAAUUAGGAUUUUUGUUUACUCUUUUUUCAUGUUUGUUUAUUUACUGUUGUCAAAAAUUGGUUUGACCAAAACUAUUUACGAAUCGAGAGUAGGUGAUUGGCGUCCUUGCUUCGUCAUCGAGUGUGCCCGCUUCUCCCUUAGACGCUCCCGAGCUGCCCUUUCACGCCUAAAACAUUCGAUGCAUUUUUAACCGUUUAAAUUGCGUUUGAUAAUAUGAUAUCAAUACAAUUAACAUACAAAUUGA